ACUAUUUAUUUCUAUCGAUACGACAUAUAAAUAUGUCAAGUGUAUUAAAUUACCGGUUAGAAUACAGUUUCCCGGGUAAUUAAUCUCGACUAUUUUAUCGGAUAAAUCAAGGAGAAGACGAUAGGAAGUGUCCCGAGGUCGAUAUCACGUGGCGUUACAAAGUUAUGGCCAUUUUAAGCUAAGCUAGGCUAAGUUAAAGACUAGCUUUUCUAGCUGAGGAGAACUAAGCUAAGAUAAUUCAAAGGCUAGCUAUUCUAGCUGAUAAGUUGGGUUGGGUUAGGUUAGGUUAGGUUAUUUUUUAGGUUAUUUAUUAGGUUAGCUUUUCUAGCUGAGGAGAACUAAGCUAAGCUAAUUCAAAGAUUAGCUAUUCCAGCUGAUAAGUUGGGUUGGGUUAGGUUAGGUUAUUUUUUUGGAUUCGAAAUUAUC